AUCGCUUCUCGCCUUUUGGCUAAGAUCAAGUGUAUGUAUCUGUUCUUAUCAGUUUAUAUCUGAUACGUCCCCUAUCUGGGGACCUAUACUUAAAUGGAUUUUUGGAACAGUGGAGAUGGAAGAAGAGCUUGCUCUGUCCACUACCACGCAUCGACCUGGUAAUUGCAGUUAACCUCAGGACCGGUGACCUCUCU
rnacentral:snRNA from 1 species